UCGUGAGGGCUUGCACCGUUAGCCUCUGCUCUUGACGCGUGGGAGUGGAAGGCUGAGGGUUUGCAGGCUUUCCUCCCCGACCACAGCCCAUCUUAGCCCCCUUACCUGUACCAGGGUCCUUGUCCCUUGUAUGGCCGGAUAUGGCGCUCUAAAACCUCUCGCCGGACCUUCUUGAAGUCAAACAGAAGCUUGAGAACUAAAGUAAGCUGUGACCUGGCCAGUAAGUCAAAGUGUCCAUGAAAUGGUGCAGCAAGACUGAUGUAAUUUUCUUCUCUUUUUGAGAAGACUUGUGAAACUAUAACACACCUACAGAAAACGGUACAGAUGGUUCACGCUGAACAUGCCCUUGUGCUGUGGAAUACGGUUCUCUGGGCAGGCUACGGCCAUUGCCAUCUUGAAAAGAGACCAACUGUAAUCUGUAAUUACUCACAUGAGACCCUCCCUGGAUCAAAUCUGUUCAAGUGCCCGCAGAGAAGGAGGGUCUGGGGAGGGUCCUCAGGGCCUCACCUGAAAUGACAGCUGUUCCUCCACUCUUACCCCAGCUGCACAUAAUCCUGCCCAGCUCCAGACUGUCUUAGCAGAUGCUGGAGUGUCUACAGUAGAUGGAAGGUGCCUUCUUUACUGAGGUAAAGACAGGUACACAGGUCUUUGCACAGGUACAGACCCCUGGGGAAUGGCACACACCGCCAUGUGAGCAGCACUCAGUGAAAAAGCAGACAGACCCGUCAUCUCACAAAGCCCGUCCUCGUCUCUUCAUGGCGCCCUCUUCCAGGGCCUCCUGCAGGGUAUGUGCUGUCUCCUGGCACCUUCCUGUUUGGCACCUAGUCUAGGGCAGCACUCCAUGAGGGAAAAUGGUGACUGUGACUGUGAAAGAGAAGGUGGAAAGGGGCCAUCUGACUCCAGGCACUGUCCAAAUACAAAUUGUACAGCUGGAAGUUGACAAUCUGCAAAUUGAUUUAAAAAAACAAAAACACAAUAAAACAGGGCCUCAUGUAUUCCAUUCUGGCCUCCAACUUGCUAUGU